rnacentral:lncRNA from 1 species
GUUUUCUUUUACUAAACUAAGGGUACUAGUAUCUACAAUGAUAUAAACAAAAUAAAAUAUUUAUUUAAGGGCAUCCCCCAAAAAAAAGAAAGAGGUUUUUUUUUUGUAAGACAGCUUAAAGAGAAAUAAUUUUAUAUGAGAAAGAAUCUUGUAUGGUAAAUUUAGUCCUAGAAUAAAAUGACUAGUUGUUUAAGAAAAAGUGAUAUUUAGAACAAACCAGAAAAUCCAAGCAUGUCAUGAAUGGUCUGUAUAAGUCACUAUAAGAAGAUUAUUAAAUAAGCAAAUCAAAAACUUUUAUGUGAUUAAGUUGUCUAUAAAGAGAAAUGAUAGUAGUGUUUCUGUAGAUUGGGUUUGAUGUAAGAAAACACUUAUACACUAAAGAAUUGGUUAGAACAAUG